UAAAGGCUUGGUCCUGACUUUACUGUCAGCUCUGGCUAAACUUACACAUGCAAGUAUCCGCACCCCUGUGAGAAUGCCCUCCAGUCUCCCGCCCGGAAACAAGGAGCCGGUAUCAGGCACGGUAAACACCUGCCCAUGACACCUUGCUUAGCCACACCCUCAAGGGACAUCAGCAGUGAUAGAUAUUAAGCCAUAAGUGAAAACUUGACUUAGUUAAGGCCUAGAGGGCCGGUAAAACUCGUGCCAGCCACCGCGGUUAUACGAGAGGCUCAAGUUGACAGACAACGGCGUAAAGAGUGGUUAGGGAAAUUUUAAACUAAAGCCAAACGUCCUCAAAGCUGUUUAACGCUCCCGAGUUAAGAAGAUCCAUUACGAAAGUAGCUUUACCCAUCCUGACCCCACGAAAGCUGUGACACAAACUGGGAUUAGAUACCCCACUAUGCUCAGCCAUAAAAUUUGAUAGGCCCCUACGCCCCCUAUCCGCCCGGGUACUACGAGCAUCAGCUUAAAACCCAAAGGACUUGGCGGUGCUUCACAUCCGUCUAGAAGAACCUGUCUCUAAAACCAAAAAAAGAGGCUCAGCCAUAAAUUUGAUAGGCCCCUACGCCCCCUAUCCGCCCGGGUACUACGAGCAUCAGCUUAAAACCCAAAGGACUUGGCGGUGCUUCACAUCCGUCUAGAGGAGCCUGUUCUAGAACCGAUAACCCCCGUUGAACCUCACCCUCCCUUGUUAAUACCGCCUAUAUACCGCCGUCGUCAGCCUACCCUGUGAAGGACUAGAAGUGAGCAAGAUUGGUAAGACCCAAAACGUCAGGUCGAGGUGUAGUGUAUGAGAGGGGAAGAAAUGGGCUACAUUUCCUAAAUCAGGAAACACGAACAAUGAACUGAAACAAGCAUUUGAAGGUGGAUUUAGCAGUAAGCAAGAAAACAGAGUGUUCUGCUGAAACAUGGCAAUAAAGCACGCACACACCGCCCGUCACUCUCCCCGAGCUAAUACGAAUAUAAUACCUAAAAAAUUACAUCUGCAAAGGGGAGGCAAGUCGUAACAUGGUAAGCGUACCGGAAGGUGCGCUUGGAACAAU
rnacentral:rRNA from 1 species